UACGGAGGAUCCGAGCGUUAUCCGGAUUUAUUGGGUUUAAAGGGUGCGUAGGCGGCCUAUUAAGUCAGGGGUGAAAGACGGUAGCUUAACUAUCGCAGUGCCUUUGAUACUGAUAGGCUUGAAUGUACUUGAGGUAGGCGGAAUGUGACAAGUAGCGGUGAAAUGCAUAGAUAUGUCACAGAACACCAAUUGCGAAGGCAGCUUACUAAAGUAUGAUUGACGCUGAGGCACGAAAGCGUGGGGGAUCAAACAGG
rnacentral:rRNA from 1 species